GGCCAGGACAAGGGGGUGCCAGAGCCAUGACCACUACCCUGCCCUACCACUGCCUCUCCAUCUCAGUAUUCCCCCCCACCCCCAUCACUUAUAACACACAUACCUCAUCCAGCCUCCUCCCUGCUCAGACUUGGGGAGGGUGGGGGAGGAGCCCCUACCCCUUCCCCGGGUGGUGGGUCUACAGGGCUGGGAGAGGGCAGGGCGUGUGACACAGACACCGUCCAUAAGGGGGAAGAUUACUUCCUGCCCUAGGAACUCCUGGGUGGAGGAGGGGGACACUACCCAGAGGCGCUACUGAAUGUAUGAGAAGCUGGUGCUGGGGUGGGGGGAGGGGGUUGUGGCUAGAAACAGGGAAGGAGGUAGACAGGUCCCUUUUCCCCAGAGAUGGGUGGGACCGGUAGGGGUGACUUGAGGGGCUCCUACUCCUGCCCCACAGUUGACAAUCAGUAUGUCUGUUAAUGUGCGAUUUUUCACCCCGUUGUGUUUUGGGUCAGGAUUUUAAAGAAAGAUAUUUUUAUGGUAAUUGUUGCUCGUCUAUUUUACUAUAUAUUUAUGUAAUAAAUAUAUGAUGAAAAUAACCCCCGGGCACCCCCCCUAGACUUGCGUGCUGUUUCCCCAUAUUCUCCCAUCUGCUGGCAGAGUACCCACCCCACAAGCUGACCAGAUGGAGAGGUGCCCCCCAACCCCCAGCCUUGGCAGUAGUCCCCCCCCAUUCCCCAAACGAGAGCACAUCACAGAAGCCAGCUCAGCUGUGAACUAUUGGAUUUGAGACAGGAACAGAACAAAUCGAGGGGCCAGAGGAGGGUGGGAGAGCAAGAGUGGUUUAAAUACGGGAGGAAGGGAGCAUGGGGGUGGGGGGGAAGAGUUAUUUACAAGAAGGCUCAGGGGGCCAGAGGCUCAUCUUGGAAUAUUUUAUAACAAUAUAAAUAAGAUUCUGGUUUGCUUUUCCUUUUCGUCUCGUAAAGGAGAGAGAAGUGCAGAGUUCGAUUCUGUACAAGGGGGCAGCGGCAGAAGGCCGGCCGGGCGGGUCACUGGGCGUCCACCCGGAAGGACAGCAGCUUCUCGGAAUGCAUGUUGUUCAGGGUCCGCAGGUCCGGCAGCUUGAGCAGCAGUUUGGUGAAGCGGGAAGUCUCCGAGGGCCGGUUCUUCAGCACCAGAGCCCGAAGAGCCCGCAGCAGCGUCUCCUGGAGCUGCUCCACCGAAGCGGAAUUCUCCAUUCCCGAGCGGUCUGUGGGGAAGACGACAGCAGUGAGGCAAGCUCCCUGAGCUCCUCUUCCUCUGACGAGGACACGGAGGUCUGCGAGGACCUGGCAGGCAAGGCAGCCUCUCCCUGAGGCCCCUUGGAGGGCGAUGGGGAAGGAGAAGGAGCAUGCUACUCCUUCUCCAGGGCCUCUGCCCUAGAGCUGGGCACGCCCACAUGCUGGGAGCAAGGCCACAGGCUGGCCGCCUCCCACUCAAGACCACCCUCCUACCCCUGAGCACGCCACACGUGGCCAAGCUCCCUUGUUAUUUGUUCUGUAGUUCCCUCUGCCUGGGAUGCCCUUCCCCCUCUCUAUGCCUGGCAAUACCUUGUCCCUUUGAGGCCCCACUCAAGUGUCACCUCCUUCCCCAGCUCUCCCAGGCAGAAAUAGUUGUCUGUGCUUACGUGGUUCAUGCUUCUUCUGUGACACUUCUCGCUGUUUUAUAAUUAGUCGGGCAUGAGUCUGUUUCCCAAGCUAGACUGUGUCUGAAUCAUGUCUGUAGCCCAGUGCCCAGUGCCGGGCCUGGCAUAGAGUAGGAACUCCAUAAAAGGUAUGUUGAAUUGAA
rnacentral:lncRNA from 1 species